rnacentral:rRNA from 1 species
CCUACGGGAGGCAGCAGUGGGGGAUAUUGCACAAUGGGGGGAACCCUGAUGCAGCGACGCCGCGUGGGUGAAGAAGGGCCUCGGCGCGUAAAGCCCUGUCAGCAGGGAAGAAAAUGACGGUACCUGAAGAAGAAGCCCCGGCUAACAACGUGCCAGCAGCCGCGGGAAUACGUCGGGGGCAAGCGUUAUACGGAUUUACUGGGUGUAAAGGGGGCGCAGACGGCGUUGCAAGCCAGGAGUGAAAGCCCGGGGCCCAACCCCGGGACGGCAUUUGGAACUGCGUGGCUGGAGUGCAGGAGGGGCAGGCGGAAUUCCUGGUGUAGCGGUGAAAUGCGUAGAUAUCAGGAGGAACACCGGUGGCGAAGGCGGCCUGCUGGACUGCAACUGACGUUGAGGCCCGAAAGCGUGGGGAGCAAACAGGAUUAGAUACCCUAGUAGUC